rnacentral:rRNA from 1 species
CCUACGGGCGGCAGCAGUGAGGAAUAUUGGUCAAUGGACGAGAGUCUGAACCAGCCAAGUAGCGUGAAGGAUGACUGCCCUAUGGGUUGUAAACUUCUUUUAUAUGGGAAUAAAAUGUUCCACGUGUGGGAUUUUGUAUGUACCAUAUGAAUAAGGAUCGGCUAACUCCGUGCCAGCAGCCGCGGUAAUACGGAGGAUCCGAGCGUUAUCCGGAUUUAUUGGGUUUAAAGGGAGCGUAGGUGGAUUGUUAAGUCAGUUGUGAAAGUUUGCGGCUCAACCGUAAAAUUGCAGUUGAAACUGGCAGUCUUGAGUACAGUAGAGGUGGGCGGAAUUCGUGGUGUAGCGGUGAAAUGCUUAGAUAUCACGAAGAACUCCGAUUGCGAAGGCAGUUCACUGGACUGCAACUGACACUGAGGCUCGAAAGUGUGGGUAUCAAACAGGAUUAGAUACCCCAGUAGCC